ACCCUCAGUGCCAGACUGGCAGCCGGCCGGUGGCUGAGCCCGAGACCCCUGCUGUUCACAAUAACAGUGGAGGCUGGCUCAGCUGGGUCUUUGGGAGUGGAAGAGUUAAUAAGAAGGAGGUUCAUCUACCUGAGGACAAAGACAGAUCUAUUGUCUGGGAUCCAACUCUGCACAGAUGGGUUAACAAAACUGAGCCCAAGGCUGAGAACAAGUGUGUACCACCACCUUCACCGAAGGGGACAUAUGGAUAUCAGGGGAACACUGGCAAUGUCCCCAAAGGAGUGAAUCCUUACUCU